rnacentral:ncRNA from 1 species
GUGUUGUAUGAAAGGAACUUUAGCACACUCUCCUAGACAAGAAUGGAAGAGGCCCUUGGGCCUCACAACAUCCAUAUGGUUAAGGCAUUGCCACCUACUUUGUGGCAUCUAACAACUACUGUUU